rnacentral:rRNA from 1 species
ACUGGCGACCGGCGCACGGGUGAGUAACACGUAUCCAACCUGCCGAUGACUCGGGGAUAGCCUUUCGAAAGAAAGAUUAAUACCCGAUGGCAUAGUUCUUCCGCAUGGUAGAACUAUUAAAGAAUUUCGGUCAUCGAUGGAGAUGCGUUCCAUUAGGUUGUUGGCGGGGUAACGGCCCACCAAGCCUUCGAUGGAUAGGGGUUCUGAGAGGAAGGUCCCCCACAUUGGGACUGAGACACGGCCCAGACUCCUACGGAAGGCAGCAUG